UUGGCUGAUUCAGUGUGUCUCAAAGCGUCGUCGUCGUCGGUGAUCGCGCGUUUGUUGUCGUUGGCGUUGUUGCGCUUUAACGGUUUUUGCAGGCGCUCAGUCUACGCAUUUCAGUAAAAAUACACCUCACCCCGUCUUCCAAAUCAACGCGCUAAUAAUAAAUAAAAACAAAAAUUGUCAAAUUUGAAACCAACAACUACCAAUUAUCCAGCGAGCAACACACAACAAACAUGUAUGUGCCAUCAUAGGAGGACAGUGAACAUAUGUUUUGGAGCAGUAUCAUAGCCAAUAAGUAAAGUCCGGAACUGGAAAUUUAAAUAUAUACCUACAUAUAUAUAUUUAUUUAUAUGUAUAUAUGGACUAUAGACAGAUGAUAUACACACUUAUUUUACAGUGCGGCGCAUAGAAUUAA